GACGAACGCUGGCGGCGUGCUUAACACAUGCAAGUCGAACGGAAAGGCCCUGCUUUUGUGGGGUGCUCGAGUGGCGAACGGGUGAGUAACACGUGAGUAACCUGUCCCUGACUUUGGGAUAACUUCAUGAAACUGGGGCUAAUACCGGAUAGGAUCUCCUGCCUCAUAGUGGGGGUUGGUAAGUUUCGGCGGUUGGUGAUGGACUCGCGUCUUAUCAGCUUGUUGGUGGGGUAGUGGCUUACCAAGGCUUGGACGGGUAGCCUGCCUGAGAGGGUGAGCGGCCACGUUAGGCCGGGAAUGAGGCACAGACUAGAAUGGGACGGAGGAGUGGGGAAUAGUGCACUAUAGACGGAAGCCUGAUGUAGCAAAGCCGCGUGCGGGAUGACGGGAAGCGGGUUGUGUAGCAAUUUCGCCUGUGACGAGGCGUGAGUGACGGUAAUGGGUAAAUAAGCACCGGCUAACUACGUG
rnacentral:rRNA from 1 species